GGCAACUUGGCCGAGUGGUUAUGGCGUUGCGUUUAGGUCUCUCCUGAACUCUCUACCGCAAUUCGAAAGAGCGAGGGUUCGAGUCCCUCAGUUGUCA